GUUCCAUUGGCCAACAAGGGUGGCCGGGCAACCACGGCCCGGACUUCCCGGAGUCUCAGGUAGGGUUCCAGCCCCUGAUUGAGCGC
rnacentral:tRNA from 1 species